rnacentral:rRNA from 1 species
GGAAACCUUUUAUUGAAGCUUCGGCAGAUCUAGCUGGUUUCUAGUGGCGGACGGGUGAGUAACGCGUGGGUAACCUGCCUUAUACAGGGGGAUAACAAUCAGAAAUGAUUGCUAAUACCGCAUAAGCGCACAGGACCGCAUGGUCUAGUGUGAAAAACUCCGGUGGUAUAAGAUGGACCCGCGUUGGAUUAGCUGGUUGGUGAGGUAACGGCCCACCAAGGCGACGAUCCAUAGCCGGCCUGAGAGGGUGAACGGCCACAUUGGGACUGAGACACGGCCCAGACUCCUACGGGAGGCAGCAGUGGGGAAUAUUGCACAAUGGGGGAAACCCUGAUGCAGCGACGCCGCGUGAAGGAAGAAGUAUCUCGGUAUGUAAACUUCUAUCAGCAGGGAAGAUAGUGACGGUACCUGACUAAGAAGCCCCGGCUAACUACGUGCCAGCAGCCGCGGUAAUACGUAGGGGGCAAGCGUUAUCCGGAUUUACUGGGUGUAAAGGGAGCGUAGACGGACUGGCAAGUCUGAUGUGAAAGGCGGGGGCUCAACCCCUGGACUGCAUUGGAAACUGUUAGUCUUGAGUGCCGGAGAGGUAAGCGGAAUUCCUAGUGUAGCGGUGAAAUGCGUAGAUAUUAGGAGGAACACCAGUGGCGAAG